GGGGAUAGAUUUUACGUAAGAGAAGAAAGACUAAAAGGGUCAUUUUAUCCACAGACAAUGAUGGGGAUGUGGAAGGAGCGACUAUAGAAAGUGGUAUGGUUGAGUUCAGCUAGAGGGUUUAAAGGAUAUCUUUACAGGCUAAUGGAUAGUACCUGAUCGCAGGGUUAUGGGCUAGACGCAGGCAAAUGGAGCGAAUUCAAGUGGGCAUGGACCAUCUGGAAGGAACCACACUUUCUGUUCAUUGGUACUCUGUGAUUCCAGACAGAGGCCUGAAUAACAAGGAGAGUUUUAAGAAGAGUGUGAGGUUUAGAGGGGAUCUGAGGAAUAAUUGCCUCAUAAGGUUACCAUCAGGAACAUAAUGACGGAGGACAUGUUGCAGGCAGGUAUGUAAAAACCAUCUCUUUGAACAUUUGAAUCACCAAAGCAGAGAAGGCAAUAGACCAAACGCUGAAUUGGAGAAGGCAGAUAACUGGGAUAUAAUAAUGAGCUGAAAUCCCUGUUUCACUACUUAUAUGCCGGUUUCUUAGCUCUUACACAGGCCUUUUAAUCAUAGUUAAAGUCUGUAAAGUUUUAUGAGCUUUUUUUUCAUUUCGACGCCUUGUGCAGGUGCCGGUGGGCAAGUUAUACACGGGUUUCUGAGAUAGAGAUUGGGAUCCCGCAAGACAGUAUUUCUUAUUUCUUAUUAUAAUUAAUACUAUUUUCUCUAAGAUAGGUACAGGGGUGGGGAAAUCACUACUUAGAUGAUGGAGUUUUAUGGAUUGGAGUUAGAAAUGUCAAUUUAACUGUAUAUAGGAUGCCAUUAGCAAUUAAUCAGUUGGCUAAUCGAUGGGACUUAAGCUCUCAGUGGCAAAAAAAUAAAGUCGAGUGUUUUAUAAACAGGAUUAAUAGAAGACGUGUCAGUGGUGAGAAGUGGCAGGUGGAUGCACAAUGAGCUGACAUGGAAGCACCGUAUCAGUAAACUAAUUGAUAAAUAUAAAGGAGCAAUAAAUAUUCUCGGUGUCUCUGUGGAUAUUCUUCGGGUGCGACAUGAAAAUCUCUGCUGACCAUUUACAUUUGUUUCAUUAGAUCAUGUCUUGAUUCUGUGGUACAUGGAUCAGCUUCAUCUCCAACUUUCAAAUGUUUGGCUGUGAUACAAGCACAGGCUUUAAGAUUCUGUUGUGGUGCAGUAAGGCCGUCUCCUGUUUCAGGUUUACUGAUUGAUUUUGCGGAGAUUGACUUUAAUGUCAAUGUACUGGAUUAAUUUGAAGGAGCAAAUAAAUGAUCAUCCUGUUGGAGGUGUGUCGGAGGACAGUUGGGAACAUCACAAGAAGAGUGUUAUAGUUUUGUGUGCUUGGGUUCUUCUUACACUGGGAAUGUGGGUUCGUUGAAUUAUGCAAUAUGUUCCACUGUGGCAUUCCCGGUAACCCCAACUUGUUUGUUUUUUAAUGCCUUUAUUGAUUUUGGGGCACCCGAUUUAAUAAAGUCUCAGGAUUUUGUUAUGCCUGAGAAUCUGUUAGUUCAUUGGUAUAUUAAGGAAAUUUAUUGUGAUAUGUUAACCAUUUUACAGAAGGAUCAAAAUAUAAUUUAACUGGACUGUUGGUGUGGCUGUUUUUGUGCCCAGAUUACAGGUAACGAUAAAGAAACAAGAUUGACCGAUUUCUGGAGAACAACAUUCUCGAUGUCCACAGGGAACAGGGAGAACCCAAAGGGUUCGAUGGCGUGGUCCGGUGUCUCCUCCAUCAACCAGGGAUCCACAAAGCACAAAACGUUACUUUAUUUUGUUUCCCGCAGGUGAGAGAUUCUGGCUGUCAGUUCACACAGCUUGUUCUAAUCACGCUGGGAAUAUGGGUUUGUUGGAUUAUGCAAUGUGUCCCACUGUCGCGUUCUUGGUAACCCCACAUACUUUUUCUCAAACUUUUAGUUUAUUUUAGGUUACACAACUUAAUGAGGGCUCAGGAUACUGUUCUGCUUGACAAUCUUAGUUCGGCAGUAUAUUGUGGAAAAUUAUUAUGAUAUGUUAAACAUUGCUGCAGAAGAAUCAAAAGAUAACUUAACCGGGAUGAUGGUGUGGCCGUUUUUUGUUCAUGAAUUACAAGUAACGAUAAAGAAACAAUUUACCAACCAUUUAUCAGUAUAUAUAGUAGAAUUUGUUUCCAUCAUUUGAGGCUUUUGUUCAUGUAAGUUGCCAUUUGUUCAGAUGCCUGUUCGGUUUUGAUGAGUCUUAAAACAGGUAGUUCUUGCAGUAGGACAGAUUUACUGUUGGAAUCUAAUCAAACAUUAUUUCAGACGCAGAGUAUUGGUUUAUAUUUCCACUUUUUAUGGGUCCCUGCACACUGCGGAUCAGUAACAAAAGCUGUUAAAAUUCCAAAUAGCACAUCAGAAAUUGAGGGGUUGUUGGAUUAAUAAUUAAAUCAAGAUUGGUGGGAUAAAGGGCAUCAAUGGAGACACCUUUACAGAAUACAUACUUGUUUAUGGAAGUUUGUGGAUGACACAAGAAGGUAAGGAAUUACAUUGACACGCCUUAGAAUUUGACACACUAUGCUUAAUUACUGUAUGCCUUUGUUCGUGUUGGGAAGCAUCAUUCUGGGUAUGUAGAUCUCAUUUUAAAAAUGUCAAUAAUUUUAAUUUAACUCACUCUAUCGUGUUUUGUUACGUACAAUCUAUAGGACUUUUCGGGGGGUAACUUAGGUUUCAUUUGAAAAAGGAAGCAGUGAGGGUUUUCUGUCCCAAUUCUCUACACCACACUCCAGUCCAGUUCGUGUCCGGAAUGCAGCUUUAAAUUGGAGUGUCCGCCGUUGUUUAUACAAACCCCGCCCUCGUUCUCCACGUCAGCCAAUUAUUCAAAGAGAAGGCGGAGACUGGUGAUUGACAAUGGAUUAGCCAACCAGCAUCCGGCUAGACCGUCGUCAUCAAAGUGGUCCUGACGAAGGGUCUCGCACUGAAAUGUUGCUUCCCGACUUGCUGAGUUCCUCCAUCUUGUUUGUACGUGUCGACUAGAUCUCCGCCACUUUCUGGCAACGUCGGGCUGCGAGUUCGGUGGGCGGGAACGGGAAUUGAUGGGCAUAUCUGCAGACCAAUGGUCGAGCGGUAUUCACGAGUAAUUCUGUGACUGCCAUUUGACAGAUCCAAUGAGAUACCGAGUUUCCAGGCUGGUGUUCUGCCGCGUCCCACACACACACACUCGUAUCCUCCCGCAACUGCCGGUCGGUGGGACAAUCCGCCCGGGAAUAAACAUAGAAACCUCCGGCACAAAACAGGAGGUUGCUGUGCCGAACAUGUCCUCACCUUGGAAACACCUGGGAGAUGAGGCGGUGAAUGUGAGGAGCUGGAGCCCGGACCGGAGACACUGCGGCCGCCUCUGCCGUGUGCUCAGGACGCGGCUUUAUUAAUGAACUGAAGCCCCGAGGUGACCGGAUAUUUCACCGGCUCAUCACCUGAUAACGUCUGACCGGCGCAAUGCCCACGCACACAAAAAGGGAACAAACUGGCCUCUCCCGGAAACCACACCCCUUCGUCUUCUGAGAGAACAUUGCUGCUUUCCAAACAAUGAAGAAUUACACAACAUCUAUAAUUCACUGUCACACAAAAAGGGAACAAACUGGCCUCUCCCGGAAACCACACCCCUUCGUCUUCUGAGAGAACAUUGCUGCUUUCCAAACAAUGAAGAAUUACACAACAUCUAUAAUUCACUGUGUAAGUCAACCGUCAUCACAGUGCGGGGUGGGGGAUGUGGGGACGGUGGGGGGGGUGGUGAGGAAACAGGCGACAGAAAAGGGGGAAGAUUACGGAGGAAUGUGUGGAGGAAAGAGUGGGGCAGUGUGGAUGAGAAUGGAUGAAGAGAGGAGGACAGGGAGAAAGAGAUUGAGGCUAUAUAUAUUUAGUCUCUCCCUCUCUCCUCCACACUCCCCUCCCCCGCCUCUUCUGUAGCACACGAAAAGGGAACAAACUGGCCUCUCCCGGAAACCACACCCCUUCGUCUUCUGAGAGAACAUUGCUGCUUUCCAAACAACGAAGAAUUACACAACAUUUAUAAUUCACUGUGCGAGUCAACCGUCAUCACAGUGCGGGUUGGUGGAUGUGCGGAUGGGUGUGUGGCGGGGAAACGGGUGACAGAAAAGGGGGAAGAUUACGGAGGAAUGUGUGGAGGAAACAGUGGGGCAGUGUGGCUGAGAAUGGAUGAAGAGAGGAGGACAGGGAGAAAGAGAUUGAGGCUAUAUAUAUUUAGUCUCUCCCUCUCUCCUCCACACUCCCCUCCCCCGCCUCUUCUGUAGCACACAAAAAGGGAACAAACUGGCCUCUCCCGGAAACCACACCCCUUCGUCUUCUGAGAAAACAUUGUCACUGUCCAAACAACGAAGAAUUGCACAACAUCAGACAAUUCACUGUGCGAGUCAAUCGUCAUCACAGUGCGGGGUGGGGGACGUGGGGACGGGUGGGUGCUCGGGAAAACGAGCUGCAGUAAAGGAGGAAUUGGGGUGAGGGUGAGAGGUAGGGGAAGCGUUCGGUAGAAAGGGUGAAAGAGAUUAUAAGGGGAGAAGAAGGGGAGUGAGUGAAUGAGUGGGUAGGGUAGGGAGGAAUGUGCUGAG